GACUCUCGGCAACGGAUAUCUCAGCUCUUGCAUCGAUGAAGAACAUAGCGAAAUGCGAUACCUGGUGUGAAUUGCAGAAUCCCGCGAACCAUCGAGUCUUUGAACGCAAGUUGCGCCCGAGGCCACUCGGCCGAGGGCAUGCCUGCCUGGGCGUCA
rnacentral:rRNA from 1 species